rnacentral:rRNA from 1 species
GACGAACGCUGGCGGCGUGCCUAAUACAUGCAGGUCGAACGCUUCUUUUCUACCGAGUGCUUGCACUCAUUUGAAAAGAGGAGUGGCGGACGGGUGAGUAACACGUGGGUAACCUGCCCAUCAGAAGGGGAUAACACUUGGAAACAGGUGCUAAUACCGUAUAACAGUCGACACCGCAUGGUGUUGAUUUGAAAGACGCUUUCGGGUGUCGCUGAUGGAUGGACCCGCGG